rnacentral:tRNA from 1 species
UCCCUGGUGGUCCAGUGGUUAGGACUCAGUGUUUCCACUGCAGGAGUCAGGGGUUCAUUCCCUGGUCAGGGAA